rnacentral:rRNA from 1 species
GACGGAAGGUGCAAGCGUUGCUCGGAAUCACUGGGCGUAAAGGGUGCGUAGGCGGCCGCGCAAGUCUGGCGUGAAAGCCCCGGGCUCAGCCCGGGAAGGGCGCUCGAAACGGCGCGGCUCGAGUGCCGGAGGGGAGAGUGGAAUUCCUGGUGUAGCGGUGAAAUGCGCAGAUAUCAGGAGGAACACCGGUGGCGAAGGCGGGACUCUGGGCCGAUACUGACGCUGAGGAGCGAAAGCGUGGGGAGCAAACAGG